rnacentral:rRNA from 1 species
GUGAGGAAUUUUCCGCAAUGGGCGAAAGCCUGACGGAGCAAUGCCGCGUGAAGGAUGAAGGCCUAUGGGUUGUAAACUUCUUUUCUCAGAAAAGAAUUAUGACGGUAUCUGAGGAAUAAGCAUCGGCUAACUCUGUGCCAGCAGCCGCGGUAAGACAGAGGAUGCAAGCGUUAUCCGGAAUGAUUGGGCGUAAAGCGUCUGUAGGUUGUUUAAAAAGUAUUCUGUCAAAGAUUAGGGCUUAACCCUAGAUAGGCAGAAUAAACUUUUAAGCUAGAGUUUGGUAGAGGCAGAGGCAAUUCCCGGUGGAGCGGUGAAAUGCGUAGAUAUCGGGAGGAACACCAAAGGCGAAGGCACUCUGCUGGGCCAAUACUAACACUGAGAGACGAAAGCGAGGGGAGCAAAUGGGAUUAGAAACCCCUGUAGUCC